CGGCCGCGCGCGAUGUGGGAGCUCGCGGCCAGAGCGCCCGGGGAGGCCGGGCCCACGACGCCCGUGGCUCCGCUGCGGCAGCGGCGGUGCUGGUGUCGCGCGCGGCCGGGAGGCGGCUUCGCGCCGCGGGCGGGAGGCUGCGGCGGGCGACCCGUCCUGGACACGCGAGGAAGAGCGAGCCGAUGGCGGCAGGGGCCGCGCUUCGACCCGGUAACUUAGAAGAUGAUAAUUAAUGUGGUUGCUGAUAAUUCUGAAUAAAUACAGCUUUUAUCCCAGAAAUGUGAAUCCUCAGAUGGAAUGAAAGGCCUGCACCAUAGACAUUGAAGCAUUUACACCCCGCUUGAAGAGUUUGAAAUGGACUUUACCACUGAGAAAUCAAGAUGGCAGCCCAUUAUGGGGAAUUGAGGAA
ensembl:processed_transcript 1810026B05Rik RIKEN cDNA 1810026B05 gene